UGAUUUGUCUGGUUAAUUCCGUUAACGAACGAGACCCCCGCCUGCUAAAUAGCCCCUGGUACGCAUUUGCGUAGCGGCGGCGCUUCUUAGAGGGACUUUCAGUGAUUAACUGAAGGAAGUUGGGGGCAAUAACAGGUCUGUGAUGCCCUUAGAUGUCCUGGGCCGCACGCGCGCUACACUGACACCUGCAACGAGCGUAGAACCUUGGCCGAGAGGCCUGGGUAAUCUUUGGAACGGGUGUCGUGAUAGGGACAGAUUAUUGCAAUUAUUAAUCUCGAACGAGGAAUUCCUAGUAAACGCGAAUCAUCAGUUCGCAUUGAUUACGUCCCUGCCCUUUGUACACACCGCCCGUCGCACCUACCGAUUGAAUGAUUCGGUGAAGAUUCGGGACUGUGCCUGCGCUGCGCAAGCAGCUCUGGCGUGGGAACUUAUCUAAACCUCAUCAUUUAGAGGAAGGUGAAGUCGUAACAAGGUUUCCG
rnacentral:rRNA from 1 species